GACGAACGCUGGCGGCGUGCUUAACACAUGCAAGUCGAACGAUGAAGCAGAGAAACGCGCCCUUCGGUUCAAAUUUCACUUCGGAUUAGUGGCAGACGGGUGAGUAACGCGUGAGCAACCUACCUCUUACAAAGGGAUAGCCUCGGGAAACCGUGAUUAAUACCAUAUGACACAUUCAUAAGGCAUCUUAAGAAUGUUAAAGCUACGGCGGUAAGAGAUGGGCUCGCGUCCCAUUAGCUAGUUGGUGAGGUAACGGCCCACCAAGGCGACGAUGGGUAACCGGCCUGAGAGGGUGAACGGUCACAUUGGAACUGAGACACGGUCCAAACUCCUACGGGAGGCAGCAGUGGGGAAUAUUGCACAAUGGAGGGAACUCUGAUGCAGCGACGCCGCGCGGGCGAUGAAGGAAUUCGUUUCGUAAAGCUCUGUUCUAUGGGAAGAAAAGGACUGUACCAUAGGAGAAAGCCCCGGCUAAAUACGUG
rnacentral:rRNA from 1 species